rnacentral:rRNA from 1 species
CACGUAGGAGGCGAGCGUUGUCCGGAAUCAUUGGGCGUAAAGAGCGCGCAGGCGGCUUGGCAAGUCGGGUGUGAAAUCCCGGGGCUUAACCCCGGGCCUGCAGUGGGUACGGGCAGACUAGAGUGCGGUAGGGGAGACUGGAAUUCCUGGUGUAGCGGUGAAAUGCGCAGAUAUCAGGAGGAACACCGGUGGCGAAGGCGGGUCUCUGGGCAGUAACUGACGCUGAGGAGCGAAAGCGUGGGGAGCGAACAGG